rnacentral:rRNA from 1 species
UGCAAGUCGAGCGGUAGCACAGAGAGCUUGCUCUCGGGUGACGAGCGGCGGACGGGUGAGUAAUGUCUGGGAAACUGCCUGAUGGAGGGGGAUAACUACUGGAAACGGUAGCUAAUACCGCAUAACGUCGCAAGACCAAAGUGGGGGACCUUCGGGCCUCAUGCCAUCAGAUGUGCCCAGAUGGGAUUAGCUAGUAGGUGGGGUAACGGCUCACCUAGGCGACGAUCCCUAGCUGGUCUGAGAGGAUGACCAGCCACACUGGAACUGAGACACGGUCCAGACUCCUACGGGAGGCAGCAGUGGGGAAUAUUGCACAAUGGGCGCAAGCCUGAUGCAGCCAUGCCGCGUGUGUGAAGAAGGCCUUCGGGUUGUAAAGCACUUUCAGCGGGGAGGAAGGCGAUAAGGUUAAUAACCUUGUCGAUUGACGUUACCCGCAGAAGAAGCACCGGCUAACUCCGUGCCAGCAGCCGCGGUAAUACGGAGGGUGCAAGCGUUAAUCGGAAUUACUGGGCGUAAAGCGCACGCAGGCGGUCUGUCAAGUCGGAUGUGAAAUCCCCGGGCUCAACCUGGGAACUGCAUUCGAAACUGGCAGGCUAGAGUCUUGUAGAGGGGGGUAGAAUUCCAGGUGUAGCGGUGAAAUGCGUAGAGAUCUGGAGGAAUACCGGUGGCGAAGGCGGCCCCCUGGACAAAGACUGACGCUCAUGUGCGAAAGCGUGGGGAGCAAACAGGAUUAGAUACCCUGGUAGUCCACGCCGUAAACGAUGUCGAUUUGGAGGUUGUGCCCUUGAGGCGUGCCUUCCGGAGCUAACGCGUUAAAUCGACCGCCUGGGGAGUACGGCCGCAAGGUUAAAACUCAAAUGAAUUGACGGGGGCCCGCACAAGCGGUGGAGCAUGUGGUUUAAUUCGAUGCAACGCGAAGAACCUUAGGGGGUGGGUGACAUCCACAGAACAAAAGCAGAGAUGGUUUGGUGCCUUCGGGAACUGUGAGACAGGUGCUGCAUGGCUGUCGUCAGCUCGUGUUGUGAAAUGUUGGGUUAAGUCCCGCAACGAGCGCAACCCUUAUCCUUUGUUGCCAGCGGUUCGGCCGGGAACUCAAAGGAGACUGCCAGUGAUAAACUGGAGGAAGGUGGGGAUGACGUCAAGUCAUCAUGGCCCUUACGACCAGGGCUACACACGUGCUACAAUGGCAUAUACAAAGAGAAGCGACCUCGCGAGAGCAAGCGGACCUCAUAAAGUAUGUCGUAGUCCGGAUUGGAGUCUGCAACUCGACUCCAUGAAGUCGGAAUCGCUAGUAAUCGUAGAUCAGAAUGCUACGGUGAAUACGUUCCCGGGCCUUGUACACACCGCCCGUCACACCAUGGGAGUGGGUUGCAAAAGAAGUAGGUAGCUUAACCUUCGGGAGGGC